UACGUAGGGUGCGAGCGUUAAUCGGAAUUACUAGGCGUAAAGCGUGCGCAGGCGGUUCGUUAAGUCAGAUGUGAAAGCCCCGGGCUCAACCUGGGAACUGCAUUUGAAACUGGCGGGCUUGAGUAUGGCAGAGGGGGGUGGAAUUCCGCGUGUAGCAGUGAAAUGCGUAGAGAUGCGGAGGAACACCGAUGGCGAAGGCAGCCCCCUGGGCCAAUACUGACGCUCAGGCACGAAAGCGUGGGGAGCAAACAGG
rnacentral:rRNA from 1 species